CACAAGCUCAUGCACAACUUCCGUUGGCAAAUAUAUGGCUAGAACAUGGUAAUAAAUUCGUGGAAAAUCCUCGGCAUAAUCUCGUAUGUACGCGUUUAAAAAUCGACACCAUGACAUAUGAUCAGUUCUCCUGGAGGCCUUAUGUCAACUUCAAUUACAACAACGAAGAAGAAAGCCAGAUAUGGUCUGCAAACACAUAUCUCAUCUGUUUUCAGAUUGUCGAGAGACAUCAGACAGACAGAGUAAGGCUUCAAUUUGG